GGGCUGCCAGGAGGCGCGGCCGCCGCCGCCUCAGUCAUGGCUCCUAGCCGCGGCCGCUGCUUCUGCGCCUCUGUUUGCGGAAACCGGUGCCUGGUGCCUGAUACGUGCGGCAGCGACACGCGGCACUGCGGCAAGCGACGCGGGGCCCUCGCUUCGAUCGAGGUGAGGCUAACCUGAGGCGCUGAUGCCGUCACAUUCCCUCGGCUCUGUGGCUGGCGGUGCUGCGCGCCGGUUUGAGGGGAGGGCGGACUGACACAGCAGAGCUAGAGGACGUGAGCGAAGAACUGUGUGUGCAGUGAAUGAAGAAGCUGCUGCGGCCACACUACCCCAGGGCCAACCGUGCUCUGAGACGGGCAGGAAGCUCCCUGACCAGUGACGCGGUCCCUGCCACCCGCCCUUUGUCCUACACCCUGCUCUGUACACUGCAGCACACGGCUGGCUGCUAGCCCUAGCGCCACGCUCUGCAGCCGCCAAACCAAAAAAUAAGCGGACGCCAUUGCGCAGGCGCGAGCUAGGACCGACUCGGGGCUAGCCCGGGCAGGGGCAGCUGGGAGCUAGAGGGGAAAUGAUGGCCCACCAGCGCCGGGCCCGCUGGGAACUGUAGUUUUCGUUAAGCCCGCGUGUUGUUUUAGGCUUCUUGAUUUGUCAGAUCCGCCAAAAUAGGCAAAAACGCAUUCAUUACACAGUAAUUUUUUUGUUUCCUGCUACUACCAAAUUAAAGUUCACAGACCCGCUAAAAGUUUAACAAUGAACAACAAAAGCAAA
rnacentral:lncRNA from 1 species